rnacentral:rRNA from 1 species
GACAGAGGGUGCAAACGUUGUUCGGAAUUACUGGGCGUAAAGCGCGCGUAGGCAGCAGCGUGUGUCGGGCGUGAAAUCCCAUGGCUCAACCAUGGAAGUGCACUCGAAACUGCGCAGCUAGAGUCUCGGAGAGGAAGGCGGAAUGCUUGGUGUAGAGGUGAAAUUCGUAGAUAUCGAGAGGAACACCUGUGGCGAAGGCGGCCAACUGGACGAGUACUGACACUGAGACACGAAAGCGUGGGGAGCAAACAGG